rnacentral:tRNA from 1 species
UCCCAUGUUGUCUGGCUCUCACCCAGAAGGCCCGGGUUCGAUUCCCGGCAUGAGAU